GAUGAACGCUAGCUACAGGCUUAACACAUGCAAGUCGAGGGACCGGAACACGGGUGUAUAACAUGUAUACAAACUGCCUUUUACUCGGGGAUAGACUUGCGACAGCAAGAUUAAUACACGAUGUAAAGAAUGGGGAUGCGUUCCAUUAGGUUGUUGGUGAGGAAACGGCACACAAAGCUGUCGAUGGAUAGGGGUACUGAGAGGAAGGUCACCCGCAGUGUGACUGGGACACGGUUCAAACGCCUACGGGAGGCAGCAGUUAGGAAUAUUGGUCCAUGGGUGUUAGCUUGAAACAGCCAAGUAGCGUGAAGGAUGAAGGCUUAUGGGUCGUAAACUUCUUUUAUAUAAGAAUAUGUAUUAUAUGAAUAAGGAUCGGCUAACUCCGUGCCAGCAGCCGCGGUAAUUC
rnacentral:rRNA from 1 species